rnacentral:lncRNA from 1 species
GACGAAUUAGGGCACGGAGCCCCCCCAUGGCACAGCUGGGCCCUGCUGGCAUUGUUAAUGAGGUAGGAAGGGCGCGUUUGUCUGAGCCUGGGACUAACAUAAUCACAUAAAGUUGUUGCUUUGGAAUAGAUGGAGCUGCCCCAGAGUCGAUUUUCUUGGAAGCAACGCAAAGCACAGCUUCCUGGGAGAAGACACAAUGCCUCCUAUUGUCUCUGCCACUUCCCCUCCAGCCUCCCAGCAUUUCUGCGUCUCCUCGGGAGCCACUGCCCUGUGCAAGAGCUGUUUGCUGAUGCCCAGCCGCGGCUUCCAAAACUCCCGCGAGAAGUCGUUUCUGUCCACAGUCAUUGUUUCCAGACCAGCCGAGCCAACUGGGGAGGAGAGGCCAAGCCCAGGGAGAGCAGUAAGAGGCCCAGCUUGCAACACAGGCCCCCGGCGGCUGGAGUCGGCUCAUGGGUUGCUGGGGGGCAGCUGGUGCCAGCCCUGCUAGACAUGUCCAGGGUCGGGGCAGAGGCCAGGGUGGCUCUCAUCCACAACGAGGCUCCAGGAAGAGGCUCCAGAGGGCCCAGGUCCCUGGAGGAAGACAGAGGGUGGAUUAUCCAGUGAGUCCUCAGAUUGCUCCAGGGAGACUCUACCCCUAGGCCCUCAUCCUACCUAGGACUGAGGCAGCCAUCUGGGUCUCUGCUUCCCUAACCACUUCCUCCUCCACCCGACCAUCACCUAGUCUCAAGGACUUGGGCAGCUUCUGGAAGUGGCUGAGACUGGAAGAAUGUUGUCACACCUACCAGAUAUCCCUACGUGUAUCUCUACCACCCCCACUACAUAUUCUGAAGAACCAAGGUGCAACAGGAAC